rnacentral:rRNA from 1 species
UUUGCAUUGGAUUGAGACAACGUACAAACCUUAUCGAUAAACAAUUGGAGGGCAAGUCUGGUGCCAGCAGCCGCGGUAAUUCCAGCUCCAAUAGCGUAUAUUAACGUUGUUGCAGUUAAAAAGCUCGUAGUUGAAAUGAAGGGUAGUUGUGUAAUGAAUACAUUCGUGUAUUUUGUUAUUCUACUACCCUCCUUCUAAAUUCGAUAUAUGAGUAUUAAUUUACUUGUAUAUGGUUUUAGACCUUUACUGUGAGAAAAUUAGAGUGUUCAAAGCAGGCAUUUGCUUGAAUAUAUUAGCAUGGAAUAAUCAUGUAUGAUUUUCAUGAUGUAUUUGAUUGGUUUGGUUCAUGAGAAUAAGAUUAAAAGGGACAGUUGGGGGUAUUCAUAUUCAAUAGUCAGAGGUGAAAUUCUCGGAUUUAUGGAAGAUGAACAAGUGCGAAAGCAUUUACCAAGGAUGUUUUCAUUAAUCAAGAACGAAAGUUAGGGGAUCGAAGAGGAUUAGAUACCCUCGU